CAGCCGCCACGGGAAUACGAGGGGAGCUAGCGUUGUUCGGAAUUACUGGGCGUAAAGCGCGCGUAGGCGGCUUUUUAAGUCAGAGGUGAAAGCCCGGGGCUCAACCCCGGAAUUGCCUUUGAAACUGGAAAGCUAGAAUCUUGGAGAGGUCAGUGGAAUUCCGAGUGUAGAGGUGAAAUUCGUAGAUAUUCGGAAGAACACCAGUGGCGAAGGCGACUGACUGGACAAGUAUUGACGCUGAGGUGCGAAAGCGUGGGGAGCAAACAGGAUUAGAGACCCGAGUAGUCCCUGUCUCUUAUAC
rnacentral:rRNA from 1 species